CCUACGGGAGGCAGCAGUGAGGAAUAUUGGUCAAUGGGCGGGAGCCUGAACCAGCCAAGCCGCGUGAAGGAAGAAGGCGCCAAGCGUCGUAAACUUCUUUUAUCGGGGAACAAAGGGCGCCACGUGUGGCGUUGUGAGUGUACCCGAAGAAAAAGCAUCGGCUAACUCAGUGCCAGCAGCCGCGGUAAUACGGAGGAUGCGAGCGUUAUCCGGAGUUAUUGGGUUUAAAGGGUGCGUAGGCGGUCCGGAAAGUCAGCGGGAAAAGCCCGGGGCACAACCCCGGAGAGCCGUUGAAACUGGCGGACUAGAGACGGCGAGAAGUACGCGGAAUGCGCGGUGUAGCGGUGAAAUGCAUAGAUAUCGCGCAGAACUCCGAUUGCGAAGGCAGCGUACCGGCGCCGGACUGACGCUGAGGCACGAAAGCGUGGGUAUCGAACAGGAUUAGAUACCCCAGUAGUC
rnacentral:rRNA from 1 species